ACCGACCACAGUUGGACAAGGACCGCGGAGAGCGCACUCUACCGGUCAUAGGCGGCGCCGCUGAGGAUGCGUUGGGCCGCCUUGCGCCCUGCUGUUUGCAGCCAUUGCUUAACUACUGCGUCAGCCUGGACAUGGAUUUCCGUAUUUAGCGAUGAUCGUGGUCCCGAAUCUUCAGCACUGGAGAAUUGGGUUGCCUUCUGAAGGAAAUACUUUUGAUUCCUUUUGGGCUUCUAAGCUAAGCUUACAUAAAAGCAAGUGGAAGAAUUACUUGGGUCUCCUUCCAGAAGAGGUACAGUGUGAUGGAGGCGGAGUGCAACCACCCUCUGCUAGUCUCCAAGCCUGGCGUUCUGGAGACCAAAGAAAUGCUGGUAGAUAUGGAAAAGCACAGAUAUCCACAUUCCCUCCGGGAAUUUUGGUGGUGGCAGCACAAGAAACAAAGUCAGGAGAAGGAGAGAUUCUAAAUAACUGUAAACAGAAGAUAGAUAUUAAAUAUUGCUGGGAGUUAGAGGUCUUUUUUGGAACAUGAGUGUGUUCUUGUAGGGAAAGCACGUCUUUAAGGGUCAACAGUCACAGUCCUUGUAUAUGAAGAUAGCCUGGUAUUAUCAGAAAAACGUGUUUGAAGUAGUCUGCUGACUAGCAAUAAAGGAUUUCCAGUCAUUUGACCUCAUGCUUUGGCUCAGUUCCUUUUGUAACCGAUGGUGUGCAUAGCAGAUGCCCUGUGACCAGAGCUCAAUAAAUCUAGCCACGUGCUCCUGUAGGGGGACGAGGGGGCUUAAGCCCAGGACCAGGCCUCACAGGCUGCAAAAGGGUCUUCCUUAUCAUGAAGCUUAAGGUAGGGCAUUUUUCUAAUUCCCCCAAAUUGGGUCAUAUCUCCUUUUAUUUUGGUUGAGCUCAUUAAAUUAAGCAAGAAGCAAAACACUUCUUUUUCUUGCUCUGAUGUAGAGUGUGUGCCAGGUUAAGGUUAAAUACAGUUUUUAACACUUCCACUAGGGAUAACUCCAUUCUUGAGGCUCCAAAUUACACACAUUUCAGGAAGAGCUCACAUGCUUCAGAGAGUAGGGAAGGAAUCCCAGAAAGAGAUGACUGGGCAACUAUCCUCACUAACUCCCUACUAAUUUUCAAAGCAACAAAAAGUGCUGAGUGCUUUGGGAUAGGUUUACCCUGGGAAUUUUACAUGAUGGACAUAGUGAGGGUCAUCAGAGUGCUUUCUAGAACAUCAAAAUCAGAAGACUUAAAUUUCAGGCUGGAUAUUCCUUAGU